CCUACGGGAGGCAGCAGUGAGGAAUAUUGGUCAAUGGGCUAAAGCCUGAACCAGCCAAGUCGCGUGAGGGAAGACGGUCCUAUGGAUUGUAAACCUCUUUUGUCGGGGAGCAACGAGGCCACGUGUGGCCGAAGUGAGAGUACCCGAAGAAAAAGCAUCGGCUAACUCCGUGCCAGCAGCCGCGGUAAUACGGAGGAUGCGAGCGUUAUCCGGAUUUAUUGGGUUUAAAGGGAGCGUAGGCGGGUUGUUAAGUCAGUUGUGAAAGUUUGCGGCUCAACCGUAAAAUUGCAGUUGAUACUGGCAUCCUUGAGUACAGUAGAGGUAGGCGGAAUUCGUGGUGUAGCGGUGAAAUGCUUAGAUAUCAUGAAGAACUCCGAUUGCGAAGGCAGCCUGCUGGACUGUAACUGACGCUGAUGCUCGAAAGUGUGGGUAUCAAACAGGAUUAGAUACCCCUGUAGUC
rnacentral:rRNA from 1 species